CCGGCAGCCCGGGAAGAUUCGCUUCGUCCCGAUCCCGGUGCCGGUGCCGGUGCCGGCCCUAAUCCCGGCUCCAGACCCGGGCCCACCGAGCGGGACCGGGGUGCCAAGGCUGCGCUGGAGCGCGGUGUCGCCGCGUGCGGAGGACAGCGCCGCGCUGUGCCCCGAGGCUCAUCCCGGCCACCCCGCGUGGCCGCGCCGGGCGCGCCGGCCCUCAGCGGCGCUGAGGGCAGCCACAGCCGCUGGAAGAGGACAGCCCGGGGCUCGGGGCAGGCUGCCCGGCGUGUGGCACGGCGUGGGGACCAGCUGGUUCUGUCAGCUCCCUGCCAGCCCGAAGCGCUGUGAUCCCGUGAUUCCCGAUCUAAUUAUCCUUCUGAAGAACAGGAGGUGUGGUGAGACUUAAAAUAACUCCUCAAAUAUGGAGGAUUUCAGAUGUGUAACAGAAAUACCUGGGGCAAAAUUUGGAGAUCUCCUCACCACUGCUACCCAGCCCUUGGUCAGACUGGUCAGAUUCCUGUGAGCUCACUGGGAAGUAGCACAGAAUUAUGGAAUACAACCAGGAAAGGAGCCUGAACUUAAACCAUGUCCUGAAAACAUGCUUUCCACUCCUGACCUUGAUUUCUUUUAUUUAUUUUAUAUAAAUAUAUACAUAUAUUAUAUAAUA